UACGUAGGGUGCAAGCGUUUAAUCGGAAUUACUGGGCGUAAAGCGUGCGCAGGCGGUUAUGUAAGACAGAUGUGAAUGCCCGGGCUUAACCUGGGAACUGCAUUUGUGACUUGCAUGGCUAGAGUUUGGCAGAGGGGGGGUAGAAUCCACGUGUAGCAGUGAAAUGCGUAGAUAUGUGGAGGAACACCGAUGGCGAAGGCAGCCCCCUGGGUCAAGACUGACGCUCAUGCACGAAAGCGUGGGGAGCAACAGG
rnacentral:rRNA from 1 species